ACAAGUAACUUUGCUUGGAUACCAAAUUCGAUAGGUUUUCUUUUUAAAUAUUUAUUGACGUUGCGUACUCGAUAAUAUUCAUAUAUUAUCGAAUAUUUAUUUGAAUAUCUGGCAACACUGCGUGCUGCAUGCCCGGUGUGUCCAAAUAUUAUUUGGCGUCAGUGAGAAGAGCGCUGAUUGACGCAAUAUAAAUAAUAAAAGUGCUGACAUUUGAAUAACCUGAACGAGUUUAUAAAACAGUGAUGGAGGCCGCCAGUCCCAACAUUUAUUUGCGGUGUCUCACAGAACCACGCACCACUAAGGAACUCUUGAAGUCGCCGUUGCACGCGAAGCAACUCCCGAAUUCCGUAUCCAAUAAAGGACAGCUAAAGAGGCAUCUUCCUGCUCCCACAAUAAAUAUUACGAAAUGCGCUAAUUUAAUGGGACCAAUGUCCAAGACCCUUUAUUCAGAACCUCGACGCACAAGGGAACUAUUGCAGUCGCCUCUUCACACAAACGCUCGUUCGGCAUCGACCUCCAAAUGUACCGUGACAUCUGUAUCGAAAUCGAAUGAGUUUCCUAUGCCUCACAGGGAAAAUGGUCGCCUACCGAGGCGUAAGUUAGACUUUAACAAAGAUGCCAUGAAGAAAAUGGAGGAGCGCUUUUUGGUCUACAUCGAGCAAAUAACUGCUUUUAAUUCGAUCUCAAAGCGGGGCAUUCAAAAAAUGAACGUGAACGAGCUUGUGCGCAUUCUCAGCCAUUUGCUGGCGUUUACUGGCGUUCGGCUGCAGCCAUUGGAUAAAGAAAAUUACAUUGAGCAGACGAUUAAAGCGAUGCAGCUGCUAAAAUAUCCACACAAAAUAAACAAAUCUUGUUUAUUGGUGCCCAACGCGUCUGUGCACCACUUGAUGCUGAUAUUGGACUUUCUUUUGGACCUUGCACCGACGGGGAAUGAAGUUUUCAUAUGCGAUUUUGAUUUUCGUAAGAACACACGUAGUACAAGCGAUGCUCCGGAUGAAUUGUCGAGCGCCAAGGACAUCGUUACUCUGCAGCAGGAUCUACAGAAUACGGAAAUUGAACUGGCCGAACAGGCACAACUGACUAAUUCAAUAGAGCAACAGCUACGCCUCGUGUUCAAGGAAGAAGCCGACCUGCAGAGUCAGCUUAAUUUUCACCAGCAGCAGCUUUGUGCGCUGAGUCAGGAGUCUACACAGCUUGAUCAGAGAAUGGGUUGCAUCUGCAUUGAAAUAUGGCGAAGAAACAAUUCCAAAAAAGAACUGCAAAACUGCUUGUGUCAACAAAAUAGGAGCUACCAAGCCUACGCCCAGAUAUUAGAUGUUGGCAAUAAUUCACUGCGAGACCAUUGUACUCAACUUGAGGAGCAUGCGGAGCGGACCCGCAAGUGUCUUAAGAAUAAUAUUGAUGCUUUCAAUGCAGUCAUGCGUACUUUGUGCUUACAUAAUCCUCGGGAAGGCAACAUGCAGAGCUCGUUAGAAUUGCCUCUGGCACCGACCCUGACUCAAAUACAAGAGCGGCAACUCAAACUUAAAGAGCUACAACGGAAUUAAAAGCGCAGGUCACAAGGGAACCCAUAUCGGAUAAAUAGUUCAAUCUAAUAACUAACUUAACUUAACUUAGUGACUGGCUUAAACCACCAAAACACAGAGUCCAAUCUGCUAUUCAUCUUCAGGGAGAUAACUUUGGCAACUCAAACUCAACUCAAACAAAAGCGCAGGUCACAAGGGAAUCCAUAUCGGAUAAAUAGUUUCAGGUGGUUGCACUUACCGCAUCAAAGCCCAACAGCACGCCGAGCCUGAACUUUAAUUACACGAGUAUAUAAUUGUUCUAGCUGCACGUAUGGGGUGCACCUUCAGGGCGAGUGCAAACUUGUGCGCAACAAAGGGACCUGGGACUUCCAAGCGUACGGGAUCGCAUUAACAGGCACAGCAGCUGAAGCAAGGAUUCCAUCAGGGCAGGCGUGAGCAUCCCAGUGACAGGUUCGGCUGGAGGGAUGCCUCCCAUCCGGCGUACAAGGCGCUUACGUAUGAUUCAAACUAAAAUAGA